AGCGCGCUGCCCGCUAGUCCUUCUCAUUCCCUUGCAGGACCGCCCUGGAGGGGCUGAAUGGGCAGCUAGGGCACUGCAACAGCCGCUGACACCUGGCCUGUGGGGGGCCCUGGCCAGACCCCCCCCUGGGUAGUGUGGGGGCCGCAUUCGGGAGGACGGUGGCACAGCGCGGGGCGAGCGGGAGGAUGCACCUGUGCUCCAGAGCCUCAUCUCUGCCCCGGCCCAGCUGCCUCAGGAUGUAGUCGGUGGCUUCUGUGGGCCAUCUGGCCCAGACCCUCUUCCCCUCUGUGCAGGCAGUUGCCUUCACUGCUCUGGGACCCCAGCCAGGAUGAACCACAGCCUCCUCUCUGCUCCCCCCCCCCUGCAGCCACUCCUCUCAGCCCCCCUCUCAGCUGCUGCUUCCCCUGCGAUUCCACUGUUUCCCCUGCGUUCUGUAUGUACUUUUCUUUUUUCUGUUGCUACCGGGGCUGGAACUUAUGACCACAGGCUUGCAAGGCAGGCGCUUAUGCCGCUGAGCUAAAUCCCCGACCACAUGUAUCUUUCAUGUAUUUUUGUCUUUCAGCAGCCACCAAGUGCUGUUUCAUCCAGUGUGCAGCUACUGCUUGUGGGCUGCCUCCUGCCUCUUUGGAGGGGCCUGCUGGGAGACAUCGCACAAUGGGCAGGAGCUGGCCUUCAAGCUGGGCUGUUUAUCUGGCACUCCUACAGACCUUGUGUACCGGGCCUGGGUGUCCCAGUCUGGGCCACCUACCAUCUAACAGUCGCACCUCACUCUGUUGUAGCGUAUUUCUCACAGCAGUAGUUGCGUCACCCCGUUCUGCUCACCUCACCUCCCCAGCAUUACCCAGGGACAAUGGACAGGGAGUCUUUUCUUCCACACCCAGACUGAGGUGUGUGGCCAUAGUUCUGAACUGUGGCUGUGGACAGUAAGGGGGGGUCCACAGAAGGGACUACUUAGCUCUGAACACAGAAGGAGGGUUGGGGAAGGGGAGACAAGGGCAGGGUGUGAGGCAAGAUGUUGGGCAAGCCAGAAAAAGCUGGACUGGGACACGUAGGGAAAGGAGGCCAGGCAAGGCAAGACCGGGGCACGUUCAUCUUUGAAUGUGAUGCGUGAUUUGUGUGAGCGUAUGUAUAUCUGUGUGAGUUGUGCAGGUGUGUGUACAUGUAUUGAGUGUAUGUGUGUGUGCCUGGUGUGAGUACAUUUGUGUGUAGUAUGUGUGGUAUGUGUGAGUGCAUGAUAUGUAUGUGUGUGGUAUGAGUAUGGUUUGCGUAUAUGUGUGGUGUAUGCAGCACUUGUGAGUGUGUACAAGUGUGUGGUAAGUAUAGUACAUGUCAAUGUGUAUACAUGGUGGCUCACAUGCCUUUGAAAUGCUGUGUGUAGAGGACAGCAGCUGUGCAUGGCCAAGGUGGAGCCUUGUCAAGGCCUAGUAUCUCUGGUGGGGUCAUUUCUUGCAAACUGCCCUAUAGGGCAUCUGGCUGGCUCCCUUUGUGCCAUGCCUGGUUUGGGCUGUGUGAGCAGUAUUUGUGCAGUUUAGAUUAGCCUCGAACACUCAUCUGUGGAACAGCUGCAUUCCCUGGACAUAGGAGGCUGGAGUGUAUGUUUCCUGAAGGAGGUCCCCAAGAGGUCACCAUCCAGAGUGAUGCUGUAGCAGACCUACUCGGACUCGACUUGUGCCCCUGACUCCCAUGUCUCUCCCGUAGAGGGACCAAUGCAUGGUACUGUUUGUCCCUUCAUGAAUCUGUAGCCCCUUAUUCUGUCCACUUGACCUCUCCAGGACUGCCAAGGGACACAGGGUGAGUCUUUUCUCCACACUGAGACUUGGAUAUUGGCCUUGUGUGACAGCAUCCUCUUUGGUUUAGCUUACCCUCCCUGUGCCCAGGCCAGCCCCUGCAGCCCACGCACAUCUUGUGCUAGGAGAGUGAUCAAGGCCCACCCUAGGGAGGGUGUGGUUAUCUUGAUCUUUCUGGCUGGCUGGACUCCAUGUGGUGACAAUGGUCAUUAAAGUGACUUGGGCCUGGGUCAAUGGUAUGGUCAUGGUCCAGUGUCCAUGCCACUGUGAGGUAGACCUACAUCUGGCUAUCUUGUGCCUGAGGAUGUGACCUUCAGGAGUCUCCAAGAUCCCUCACAGUGAUCCAGUCUCCAGAGGCCUUCUGGAAGGCAUUUAGCUCUUCAUCUUUGUGGACAUCCAGAUCCUCUAACCUUGAGCAAUUUUAUGACUCAUAGAUAUGUCCUCCCCUGUGUCUGUUUUUCUGAUUUGGGCCUGGGGCUCUUGGUUGAAUUCCUACCGCCCUUCUGCACAUCACUGCAGGGCAGGGCUUGGAGAAAGGACCACAGCCUGAGUGGACUGAAUCCUGUGGGUGGAGGCACAGGACCUUCCUCUGUGGCCACUAAGCUUGUUUCUCAGUUUUAAACCUGAAACUUGUGAGUGGAGCUGCUUCCUCACCCACUGCCCUCCCUUCUUCUACAUAGUACUUUUUGGAGAAGGCCCCAUCUGAAGCAGUAAAGCGGGAUGAGUCGCAUACCUCCUUAGUCCUCUUGAACCCUCCUGAGGCUCUACCCUGGAGCUCUUCCUCAUGUCCAGCUGAUGACUCAAAGGCCAAGGAGGUGAACAGAUUCCUCUGCUGUGUGCUGCUGCUGUGAUUCACUGCACCACCACAGGCCCAAUCAACAAGGGUAGGUGAUCCUGGAUGGAAAACUCUGGUAUUCUGGCCAAAAUAAACCUUUUCUCUUUUAAUUUGAUUAUUUCAGGUGUUUUGCACUGUAGCAGAAAGCUUUCUAACCAGUGUGCAAUUUAAAAUUUAGGAAUUAUUCAUUUCUGGAAAUGUUCUUUCAAUCUUUUUAGACUGUGGCUCACUUUAGGUAACAGUAAAUGUAAGUGUGGAUAAGAAGGUCAGUCAUAAAGUCUUCCUCACUGUGCUCUAACCAGGGGCACUUAAUGGUUGUGUUCUUAACAGGUCUAAUAGGCAGGGGGACCCUGCAUUAUCUUGGAGUGGAAAGGACAGCUAUAGAUGGCUCCUGCUCAGGCUUUGCAGGUUAACAUAGGCACUAGUCCAGGUUCUUUCUAUAUCUCCCACAUGGCUGAAGCUGUUCAGGCGGGGAAACUAAGGCUCAGAAAGAGAAGCUGUCUGGUUUUUCUCAUUUGUCUCUUUAGGCGACCUUGUCAGCCUAGGUGAGUGCUAGGGAAGGUAACAUGGCUAAAAAACUGAGGCCACAAUUAAGCUUUCCAUGGGAAGCCACACAAAGCCCAAUUACCUCACUAAGAGUUUCAGGAUCCACUAGUUGUGGUGGGAAUAAGGCUUCUAAAAUCAGAAGAUGCCUGGUCUCUCACUGCUGCCUGUCUCUCCUCCACAUGAUCCUGGAGCCUCGGGGCUGCCUCCUGAUCCUUUUCUGAUGAUCCUUCCUUGGGAUUUCUUUCCCCCUGUCUGUUCCCAUCUCUCUUUCCCUGACCUUUUCAUGAGCCCCAUCCUUUGUCCCUGCCACCCUCCCCCAGGUCUAGGAAAGUCCUAGGUCUGGGCCUUGACCACCCUCUAGAGGCCUCAGCAUGCAUUGCACCCCAGCUCACCUUGGGAAGCAGUGUGAUGAGAACAUCCUUCCUGAGGCUGUGGAGGCUGUGAUCACUGUAGUCAGCAUAAGGGCCCAGCAGAUCAGUUAUGGGGAAUCAGUCACUUGGGGAUUCAGUCAUGCCAUGCUGGGAGCACCAAGGGUGGGAGGCCACUUCAACCCUUUCCCGCUAAUUUCCCUGUCUUGGAGGAUUCCCUGCUGAGUCCCUGCUCUGAGCCAAAGGCCCUCUCACCUACUCAGCCUGGCCCAGCAGAUCAGCUCAACUUGAGUGUCAUGUUUCUUCCUUCUUCAAGGAAACCUGCUGUGGCUCUGUAUGGUGUUCCAGGUUGGCUGUGGGGACAGCCAGGCUGAGCUCUUGCAGCAGGACAGCCAGUGGGCUGCAGGAGUGUUCCCUAGCUUCCCAUGGGGUGCAAAAAGCAGCUACUCAGGCCUUGCAGAGGCGGAGGGUAGAGGCUGGUACUUGAGGGAAGGCUGCUGCGGAAAGUGAACCUUCAUCCUGUGCCAGUGAGCUCUACACUGGGCAGGAGGCUCUGCUUCAGAGGAGGUAGGGGAAGCUGAUUGCAGCAGGUUGCUCAUCACUGAGCUUGCACUAGGCUGCUGUUCUCUAAGCCAUUUAUUUUAUCCACUUAGUCACAGGGUGGCUGGGACACCAGAAUUCAGCUGGCUCAGUAUCUUCUCUGUCCAGGACCUUGGGACCAGCCUGGGAUAGAUUGCAACCUCCUGAACUUGUUCCUCUCAGGGGAGGAGAAGGACACUGAAGAAGUCUCUGGAGUGCUUGGCCAGAGGUGCUGGAAAGCCAAGACUUGUUUCUUCCCAGAAGAGAGAGUGAGCCAAUCCAGAACCAGUGCUAUUGAAGACUGUAUAUCUUAAAUUGAGUUACUCUGUGGGUUCAUCUCUGUCUUUUUGGUCACCACUUAUGUGGUACACUCAAAGCCACACCAUAUGCUGUACAAGGUUUGUAUUUCUUCCUUAACCCAGUAAAUAGGUUAAAAUUGACCACUAGAUCCUGCAGGUGCUGGCUGGUGGCUGGGGCUUCCAGUUCUGACCCUAUGUCCUCUCCACAGGGUGUCCUGGGUGUCCUAAUAUAUUAUGCUCAAUGUCUUUCCCUGGAUCAAGGGAUCCCACAAAGCACAGCCUAACUGCAGCUUUCUUGUGCUUUAUUUCUUGCCUCUGAAGUUAUGCAAGGUUACUUCUGCUUCUUCCCUCCUGUAAUAUCUGUAUCUCUGCCACUGAUUCCUCCUCUUAAUGUGUUUGUGAACACAUUAAGGAAAUGCUAAAACAAAGAACAAAAAAAGAUGUAAUAUUAAAUUUGAAUAUCAAAAGUGA